rfam:Xenorhabdus szentirmaii DSM 16338, WGS project CBXF01000000 data, contig: XENSZ_2115_Contig_36
UAGCGUGGAAAAGUUUACAUAUGAUCCGGUCGCUUGUGAGGAUCACCUUCGGGUAGCGACAACAACACUCCUGUAGCCUGCAAGGGAGUACAUCACUGUGUGGUACAUCUGCACCCCUUUGGAAGCAGAUAUCGUCAGUUCUCUGGCGAUGAAGGUUACU